GUGGGGAAUAUUGGACAAUGGGCGCAAGCCUGACGCAGCCAUGCCGCGUGAAUGAUGAAGGUCUUAGGAUUGUAAAAUUCUUUCACCGGGGACGAUAAUGACGGUACCCGGAGAAGAAGCUCCGGCUAACUUCGUGCCAGCAGCCGCGGUAAUACGAAGGGGGCUAGCGUUGCUCGGAAUUACUGGGCGUAAAGGGCGCGUAGGCGGGCAGCUUAGUCAGAGGUGAAAGCCCAGGGCUCAACCUUGGAAUUGCCUUUGAUACUGGCUGUCUUGAGUUUGGGAGAGGUGAGUGGAACUCCGAGUGUAGAGGUGAAAUUCGUAGAUAUUCGGAAGAACACCAGUGGCGAAGGCGACUCACUGGCCCAAUACUGACGCUGAGGCGCGAAAGCGUGGGGAGCAAACAGGAUUAGAUACCCCAGUAGUCC
rnacentral:rRNA from 1 species